UUGUCACCUGGAGUUCUCCUCAAAUCACUUCAGUUGCUAGCUAACUACAGCUUGCAUUGGCACUGUUUUAUUAGUGCGCAAUGCCGGGAUAUAGAGCAUUGUAUACUGAAGUGUUUGGGGGAACUCUGGGUGGCAA
rfam:Triticum aestivum genome assembly, contig: Triticum_aestivum_CS42_TGACv1_scaffold_093450_2AL